CUGAAUUGAGAGAGUAGGACCUUUGUCAUUUCCCUUGGCAUCGUCCUCGUUUCUGUAUUCUGUAUUCGUAUUGAAGCUGGCUCUGCUAACAGAUAGAGACAGGCAUCUGCUUAUUCUAUAGUUCCUGUUAGGCAGCAAAGAAGGAUAUCACCAUUAUCACCUGAUAAUGUUCCUAAUGUUGAACUGAUCUUCUUGUAGAGGAAGGUAGAGAGGGAAUAAAUAUUUUUAUAGAUGCUAUACUUAGGGCUUUGCAAAUAUUAUAUUCUUUGAUCCUCAAAACAACCAUGGGGAAAUUGAUGAUGUUUAGUCCCCAUUAUAUAGUUGAGGAAACUGAGGCAGUUAGAGGUUAAGUGACUCAUCCAGAGUCUAGUGUCUUAGUUGAAAUUUGAACUCAGUUCUUCCUGAUGUCAGGCUCACCACUCUAUCCACUGUACCACUAUCUGCCUCCAAAUGAACAGGGAUGCCCUGGAGCCAGCUCUAACUAGCUUGUGGGAUGAUUGUUCAAUUUGCCUCCAAAUUAACAGCACAUGCUUAUUUUGGAUUUUUUGGAAUAUCAUCAGUAGACCUUCUUGAGGGACAAAGGCACAGCUCCAGGCCAGAUGUGGGAAAUGUCUACAGCUUUUGAUUUUUUAUAGACAUUUGAUCUUCUGUAAUUAAGGCAUGUAUGGAGGUCAGUCUCUCUUCCUAGUUAGUGAUGCAAAUGGAACUCCUUAACCAUCUUCACAGGUGAGAAUUCCUCAAAAUGUUGAUUUUUUUUUUUAAAACUCUUACCUUCCAUCUAGAAUUGAUACCUAUUGGCUCCAAGGCAGAAGAGCAAUGAGGGAUGGGCAAUUGUGACUUAUUCAGGAUCAUCCAGUUAGGACAUGCUUGAAUUUAGAUUUGAACUCAGGACCUUUUGUUUCUAGACCUGGCUCUCCAUCCACUGAACCACCUGCUCUUCAAAUGCCUCUUUUUGUUUCUUCAUGCUGAGAACAUCAUUGCAAUAUCCAUAUUUUUCCUGAGGAAUACUAUUGUCCAUUUCCAUUCCCCAUGAUCAGCUUCUCAUAGCAAGAGGGCUAAAUAAAUUUAGGUAGAAAAUAUGUCA
rnacentral:lncRNA from 1 species